rnacentral:rRNA from 1 species
AUUGAACGCUGGCGGCAUGCCUUACACAUGCAAGUCGAACGGUAACAGGUCUUCGGAUGCUGACGAGUGGCGAACGGGUGAGUAAUACAUCGGAACGUGCCUAGUAGUGGGGGAUAACUACUCGAAAGAGUGGCUAAUACCGCAUGAGAUCUACGGAUGAGAGCAGGGGAUCGCAAGACCUUGUGCUACUAGAGCGGCCGAUGGCAGAUUAGGAAGUUGGUGGGAUAAAAGCUUACCAAGCCGACGAUCUGUAGCUGGUCUGAGAGGACGAUCAGCCACACUGGGACUGAGACACGGCCCAGACUCCUACGGGAGGCAGCAGUGGGGAAUUUUGGACAAUGGGCGCAAGCCUGAUCCAUCAAUGCCGCGUGCAGGAUGAAGGCCUUCGGGUUGUAAACUGCUUUUGUACGGAACGAAAAGCCCCGGGUUAAUACCCUGGGGUCAUGACGGUACCGUAAGAAUAAGCACCGGCUAACUACGUGCCAGCAGCCGCCGUAA